rnacentral:misc_RNA from 1 species
AGAAAAUGAACAGAAAAUAAAAUUACAUGCAACGAAAAUGGAGAAAAAGAUUGCAAACAAAGCUUAAAAGAAUCUUUUGCGAGUGGCAAGCAUUUUACAUUGACAUUGACGAGCCAAAUAAUUAACGUGCGCUGCAUAUUAAAGAAUUAUUGCCAACACAAGUACCAUCUUCUACUUUUCAAACUCACUCCUCUCAUCUCAUCUUUGCCGGAAAGAGACCAUGGCUGAAAUGAU